rnacentral:lncRNA from 1 species
CGAAUUUGGGGUCGCCACAGUGACACCCCUAAAUUCGGAUACACUGAAUCCAACAGAUUUGGUACUCACUAUCCAAAAACAAUCACAUCUAGCUACCCAUAAAAAAAGGAUAAAUAAUCUCAUAAACUUAGUAAACCUCACUCCUAUUAAAGGGUUAUAUAAUUCAAAAUUAAAUCCUAGGUCAUCUAACCUUUAUUACAUCAUUUGCAGAAAAAAAAAACAUAAUACAAAAUUAAAAAAGUCUUGUUACAUAAACUUUUCAACAUAAUAUAAACUUAAACUUCAUUAUUUUUUCAUUUUGCCUUUGCCCUUGCUUGUAGAGGAUUCCUCAGGCUUCUCAAUCUUAGCUGCAAUACAAGAGUGAGCAAAUAAUUUCUCACAAGAAUAAUAAUAAACAAUAAUGAUAUAUGAAACAUCAAUGGAUAAUAUGAUCUUCUCUGAAACUUAAUAACUAUAAGCUCAAUGGAAAAAUUCAUCUUUUGAAUCAACAUUAGAAAUCAAGGUCAAAAAUAUAACUGAGGGUCAUAAGACCACAAACUAUGUUUUAGGUUAGCAAGUAUCUUUACCGUAACCUUUAGCAGCCUCAUAGACUAUAUAAACCAUCAACUCUUACUCCAGGGGAUCAGCUCUUUGUACAAUAUAUUGUGCACAAACAUUUUAGUGUUUUCGUGUAAUAUAAUCCCCUAUAUUAUGGUUGUUCAUCUCAGCUUUGAUAUUAGAGUCCGUACCAAAGGAAUUUUGGUUUGGAAAAACUUCAAAGAUAUGCUAAGUCUUUAGAACGCUCAUCAACUAAGGACUAGUUGAAUUAUAAAGGAUUUGAUAACAUUCAAGAGUUCGAUAACAACAUAAUAUAGUAAAGGGGUACUUUAGUAGUGAUCGGACAACAAUAAAUCAUAAGUGAAUAAACGUCAUAUACAUCGAAGUCAUUCUAUCAAAAAGAAUUAAAAAGCUCAAUCAACAUAAGCAUUGGUUACUAUAGGAAACCUCACUUGAAGUAUAAGAAUCAAAGGGUAAAGAAUUUUCUCAAUGAAAGGUAAGGUUUAGAAACUUGUGUAAUCA